rnacentral:lncRNA from 1 species
GGAAAAGAAGAGUUCAAAUCAACAAAUCAAAUAAAUAUAAAUAAUAAUAAAGAGUAUUCAUAUAAUAACGAUGAUCAAGAAACACAAAAUGAAAUAAUACAAGAUACGAACGAUAAUGAAGUUUUUAAAAAUUCCGGUGAUAAAAGUGAAAAUGACAAUUUCUGUUAUGAAUGUUAUCAUGCAGGAAAUUUAAUUUGUUGCGACCAUUGUAUUAGAUCCUAUCAUUUAUAUGUACAGUACAUUAUAUACAUAUAUACGUAUAUACAUAUACAUACAUAUACAUAUACAUAUAUAUAUAUAUAUAUUUAUAUUAAGUUUUUAAUCGUAUAUUUAUUAUGUUGUUUAUUUUUAAUUAAUGUCUUAAAUCUUAUAUACAUUUACACUUAUACAGUUUUAUAAUUCCAAGGCUAUAAAAAUAUACACAUACACACAUAUAUAUAUAUAUUAUAAACAUAUUUUAUGGAUUCUUUUUUUUUUUUAAUAGUGCUUAAGCGAAUUAAAUAGACCAUUGACAGAUUAUAACUACUGGUAUUGUCCUAUUUGUAAAAAAAAUGGCGUAUCUAUGGGCGUCUCUUACAAGCGGAAGAAGAGAUUAAAAACGAUAAGUACACAAGAGAAAAAAAAAGAAAAAGUAAAACAGAAAACUGAAGGCAGCAACUACACAGGUCAAAUAAAUGUAGGGGAUAACUAUCAAGUAUCAAAUAUAACUACUUUCUUUUUAAAUAGUAAUUCAGAGACAUAUGAAGAAGAAAACACAUCAGAGUUAGUUUAUUCACCUCACCUACUAGAGCGAAUGAAAGAAUGUUACUUAAGUGAAGGACAGUAUGAAUUAGUUUUAAAAAAUGAUUACGAGUUGGCUGUUUUUAUUAAGGAGCUAGCUCAGAAUUGGAAAUGUCAAAUGGGAUGGUAUCCAUUUACUCCUGAAUAUGCUUUUAAGAUUUUACAUCGAGUGGAUUAUAACCCUAAGAGGGCUAUUGAACUGCUGAAAAGUUCUGAUUUUAAUUUUUUGGGUAAAAAAAUAAAAAUAAGGAACAGCCACAUACCUAACAUAUACAUAUUUAUACUCAUAUAUUUAAA